rnacentral:rRNA from 1 species
UAAGCGGAGGAAAAGAAACUAACAAGGAUUCCCCUAGUAACUGCGAGUGAAGCGGGAAAAGCUCAAAUUUAAAAUCUGGCAGUCUUUGAUUGUCCGAGUUGUAAUCUAGAGAAGUGCUUUCCGCGUUGGACCGUGUACAAGUCUCUUGGAACAGAGCGUCAUAGAGGGUGAGAAUCCCGUCUUUGACACGGACUACCAGUGCUUUUGUGAUGCGCUCUCAAAGAGUCGAGUUGUUUGGGAAUGCAGCUCAAAAUGGGUGGUAAAUUCCAUCUAAAGCUAAAUAUUGGCGAGAGACCGAUAGCGAACAAGUACCGUGAGGGAAAGAUGAAAAGAACUUUGGAAAGAGAGUUAAACAGUACGUGAAAUUGUUGAAAGGGAAACGCUUGAAGUCAGUCACGUUGACUGGGAAUCAACCCUUCUUUUUUGAAGGGUGUACUUCCUGGUUUAACGGGUCAGCAUCAAUUUUGAUUGUUGGAUAAAAGUCAAUAUUUAUGCRUCUUCGGAUGUAUAGCCUUUGGUUGCAUACAACAGUUGGGAUUGAGGAACUCAGCACGCCGCAAGGCCGGGUCUCUAAGACCACGUACGUGCUUAGGAUGCUGGCAUAAUGGCUUUAAUCGACCCGUCUUGAAACACGGACCAAGGAGUCUAACAUGCCUGCGAGUGUUUGGGUGGUAAACCCGAGCGCGUAAUGAAAGUGAAAAGUUGA